ACACAGUUCACCUGUGUAAGCUGCCAGUGUGACAAUGAAGAUCACUGUGAUUUUCCCGUUGCUGCUGCUGGUCUGCUCUGGCUCCACAGAUCAGAAUAAGACGGAGGCAGAAAAGAAAUUCUUGCACAGCAGAUCACAUCCUUACAGUCUUUACCACAAGACAUCCUUGCUGUGCUGAGAGAGAUGGCUGUUACUUUGACUCAACAGAAGUUUGACAUGAGAUUGCUGCAAACAGAGAAUAAAGAGCAUGCAGCAAAGCUGGAGCGACAGGAGACUGAGUUGAAGAAGCAGGAGACUGAGAGAAAGAAGCAGGAGACUGAGGUUGACAAGCUGAAGCAACAGCUGAAAGGUACUGUGUGUGUGAAAUCAUCAUGUCUGAUUAUUUGUAUAACAAAAAUGUAAUGUAUCUUUCUUACACCAAUACUACUACUGUGUGGUAUAAAAUGUAAUUUCCCAGAAUGUUAUUUAUUCUCAAAUACCAUAAUAUCAAGUACUGAAACUGAUAACUGCUGCCAUAAUUAGUGCGGGCAUGUACCGGAGAAAGUGUUUAUGAUUUCUACCAGCUGCUUCUGCUCCUUUGAGAUUCAUAGGACAUUUCAUUUGACCAAAUUCAAUCAUGAUGA